rnacentral:rRNA from 1 species
GACGAACGCUGGCGGCGUGCUUAACACAUGCAAGUCGAACGGAAAGGCCCUGCUUUUGUGGGGUGCUCAUGUGGCGAAAGGGUGUGUAACACGUGUGUAACCUGCCCUUGACUUUGGGAUAACUUCAGGAAACUGGGGCGAAUACCGGAUAUGAGCUCCUGCUGCAUGGUGGGGGUGGGAAAAUUUCGGCGGUUGGGGAUGGACUCGCGGCUUAUCAGCUUGUUGGUGGGGUAGUGGCUUACCAAGGCUUUGACGGGUAGCCGGCCUGAGAGGGUGACCGGCCACAUUGGGACUCAGAUACGGGCAGGACUCCUACGGGAGGCAGCAGUGGGGAAUAUUGCACGAUGGGCGGAAGCCUUGUGCAGCAACGCCGCGUGCGAGAUGACGGCCUUCGGGUUGUAAACCGCUUUCGCCUGUGACGAAGCGUGAGUGACGGUAAUGGGUAAAGAAGCAACGGCUAACUACGUG